CUUCAGUAGCGCCCAGUUUAUAUAUACUUGAGACAUUUAAGUUACCAUAUGACAGGCAGCUGAAACUCUAGAUGACGAGUUACCCAGGGUUGCCAACUUUACUCAGCUAGUUGGCGUGAGACUUUGAAUCUGAGACAAGAAGGUGUUAUAAAUGGAAAAACUACUGUCCCCUAUAAACAUUGGCAUUUCUACCCAACCAGUGACUCUUCUCGAGUGCACAGCAUGGGAAAUCCCUGUUACGGUAGGAGUGCUCCAGGGAAAGCUCUGAGUCCCCUGUGUCUCUCAGCUAUGGGGAAAGGGAUAGAUCUAUUCCCUCUUAAUUCAAUAACUGAGUCCUGUCAAAGAACAUAUAUUUGGUUUCUCCCAUCUACAUCCUUUUGUACAUGUCUGCUGCUGUAAUUGUCUUGGUCUGUUUUUCAGUUCUCUGUUCUGGAAUAGGACAAGCUGUCACACUCCCUCUGGUUGAGCUUUUCUGUACAAAUAUGGGUUAUAAAACAUGUAGUGCACUUAAUGAUAAUGCAAACCAGGUCAACCUUCAUGCCCAGUUAAUCAUUACCUUCCUCAGAUGGGAAUGAAAGUGUUGAAACAGUUUUUUUUGCCCUCAAACUCUUGUACACAGUCGUAAUGCUUUACUAUUCAGUCUCUAUACAUGCAUCAAUAUGAAACAACUUCACAGUAGACCGUUUUAAUUAAAGUAUUUGGGGGGGGGGGGGUUACAAGGUGUGUUCAGGUUGCAUUAGCAGUUUCACCAUCCAAAAGCAUGUAAGCAAGCAUGAGGUAGUCUGUGUCUCUCCCCUCUUUUUGAUCUAUUGAUGUUUGUUUGUUGCCAAUAGCUGUCUUGUGCAAUAUUACAAUCUUGCCGUGUGUAUGUGUGUGCUUGCACCUGACUUUUUUUUAUAGAAACUGGGGUGGAAAAUGAAUGGUAAGUGGCCGGAGAAACAGUAAUAAUUCAUGUCUCUUUCAAGUGUGUUGCUUGCAUAUCAUGGUCUAGAAUUUGUGCAGCAAAGACUAACAGGCAGAGGCAUUGAAGGGGCAUGAAUACCCUGGUGGAGUUUUAGGGCAUUUUAUUGGGACCCCUGAAAAUUGAAAUUUACAAUUUAUAUGCUUGGGGUACUACAUAAUUAUUCCUACUAUUUGCUACAACAAAAUGUGACCAUGGCCUUGGGAGAAUUCUAAUUAUGUAAACAUUCAGUAUUAUAAACAGUUUUUAACUUGACCUUUAUAUGUCUAUCUGAUAACCAAGUUAAAAGUCUGCCAAGUAAGCUGUAUUUGUUUAGCAUAUUAUUUAAACUGACUGCUCAGAAGUUCCCAUGCAAAAAAUAUGUGAAUAUGUUUUUAGUACUUUUUAAAUUGAAUUACAGCACACAUGACUUUCCAGUUAUUGAUUUUCUGUUAUACAGUACUAGUGUUUUCUUUAGACUAUGAUCUCAUUCAGUUAGAAAAUUCAUUCAUUACAAAAAUAUAAACUGUUGCAAAUAUAAACUGCAACCCUUCAACUUAAAUUAAGCAACUUAACACUUUAUAUAAAAGUAGAUUAAAUAAAACCAAAUAAGAGCUGCUAUAUUUGGUUGUACUGUAAGGUGCCAUUAUCAGAAUAAAUAAAAAUGCUGCUACAUUUGGCUGUAAAGUGCUGUAACAAGUGUUUCUUACUUUUGGCUGAACUUCGUAUGCAUCCUCUGGAUGAUGACAUGCCAUGUGAGUCCUGAGGUUUGUAGGGUUUCCAAAAUAUUUGACUUUAGCUUUACAAAGCUUGCAUAUGACAUUAGUCUUAUCCAGCUCUUUCUUGUCAUCGUUGUUGUAGAAUCCAAAAUGUGCCCAAACGUCUGCCUUAAAUGAGGACGGGGCAGGUUGAAUGUUCUUUUCCAUUGCAUUUUCCAUUGCUCGUCCAUCGAUUGCUCGCACGUGUGCACACUCGCCGUUACAAAAUGGGAAACAUGAAUCAAUUUUGUGUCCUUUAUGAAUCGAUUUUGAAUCGGUAGAGAUAGAAUCGCGAUUCUUUUGUGAAUCGAUUUUUUUGCACACCCCUAAUGUUUUGGUUUCGGGAAUCUUGGGGAAAAAGGGUAGCUGCCAACAGAUGCAUAACAAGGAAGUUGACAAAAGCACAAUGGUGAGCUCCCAAUCAUGGGAAAAUAAUGUGGGCUGGGUCAGUCUUUCACCUUCUUUCUUCUAUCUGAAUAGGUUUGCUUGGAGAAACCGAAAUGAUGCCUUUGACUUUUCAUUAUUGUUUUGGCAGCCAUGCUGUGGCAGUCAUUGGGUGUGAUGGUUGCUCUGUAUGGUGAAGUAACAGCAAAGGAAUAUGAAGCCAUAUUACAGAACCAGGUGAACCCUAUGGUGCCAAGACUGUUCCCCUGUUUUCUCAAUUUGGUAGGUCGCUUUGGAUAAAAGCAUCUGCUACAUAAGUGUAGAUUGCAAAUGCCAUGGCCCAGAGAGAUGCCCCACUUUAUCUUGAUGUUUAUGAACCCUCUCUUGAAUUUGUUGAGAAGUGCAUGUGGGGGGCAUGAUCUUUGAACAGUGUUUCCCAACCCAGUCCUUGGGCACCCCCAGACAGCCCAUAUUUUUGCGUCCUUCCAGCUCACAGCCAAUGAAGAACACCAGAUACCUGGUAGGGUUGUGCUGGGAGCUGGGAGGGAGCAAAAACGUGGACUGUCGAUGGUGCCCCAUACUAAUCACUGAACACGGAGUCGGUCAGUCCUAAUUCUUCCAUUUCUCCCAGUGUACUUAAAAAUUUGUCAUCAAUGGAAAGCUGAUACUAGGAGUCACCAUGGAUGCAGGUGACUAAAAGUGCUGAGCUUUGUUUUUCACGCAUUUGUAACUUGAGAUAUUAUCUGCCUAUAGCAACUGUGAACAAUGGCAGUUGGCAUGGCAAAAACAACUUGCUAAACCGUAUAUACAUGACUUAAUAAAACUGAACUUGUACACGACCUGUUCAUCUCAUUAAACAUCUACCAGGCCUUUGUGGCCUAAAUUAAUAAUAGGUUGAUUGUAAUAAUGUACCUUUAUU